CAAUAGCGUAUAUUAAAGUUGUUGCAGUUAAAAGCUCGUAGUUGGAUUUCUGUUCUCGAGGAUCGGUCCGCCUCACGGUGAGCACUGGUUUUCUUGGGACAUCCUCUCGAAGGCGGGUGGUGCACUUAAUUGUGUGCUGCUUGGAUUCGGGACCUUUACUUUGAAAAAUUAGAGUGUUCAAAGCGGCGUCGGACUUGAAUACAUUAGCAUGGAAUAAUGGAAUAGGACUUUGGUUCUAUUUUGUUGGUUUCUAGGACCGAAGUAAUGAUUAAUAGGGACAGUUGGGGCAGUUAUGUAUUUAAUUGUCAGAGGUGAAAAUUCUUGGAUUUAUGAAAGACUAACUACUGCGAAAGCAUUUGCCAAGGAUGUUUUCAUUAAUCAAGAACGAAAGUUAGGGGAUCGAAGAUGAUUAGAU
rnacentral:rRNA from 1 species